rnacentral:tRNA from 1 species
CGGGGCGUAGCUCAGCUUGGCUAGAGCGCUUGCCUUGGGAGCAAGAGGUCACCCGUUCAAAUCGGGCCGCCCCGACCA